UCGCGGCCUAUCAGCUUGUUGGUGAGGUAAUGGCUCACCAAGGCGACGACGGGUAGCCGGCCUGAGAGGGUGACCGGCCACACUGGGACUGAGACACGGCCCAGACUCCUACGGGAGGCAGCAGUGGGGAAUAUUGCACAAUGGGCGCAAGCCUGAUGCAGCAACGCCGCGUGGGGGACGAAGGCCUUCGGGUUGUAAACCCCUUUUAGCAGGGAAGAAGCGCAAGUGACGGUACCUGCAGAAAAAGCACCGGCUAACUACGUGCCAGCAGCCGCGGUAAUACGUAGGGUGCAAGCGUUGUCCGGAAUUAUUGGGCGUAAAGAGCUCGUAGGCGGUGUGUCGCGUCUGCUGUGAAAAUCCAAGGCUCAACCUUGGACCUGCAGUGGGUACGGGCACACUAGAGUGCGGUAGGGGAGAUUGGAAUUCCUGGUGUAGCGGUGGAAUGCGCAGAUAUCAGGAGGAACACCAAUGGCGAAGGCAGAUCUCUGGGCCGUAACUGACGCUGAGGAGCGAAAGCGUGGGGAGCGAACAGGAUUAGAUACCCUGGUAGUCCACGCCGUAAACGGUGGGAACUAGAUGUGGGGUCCGUUCCACGGAUUCCGUGUCGCAGCUAACGCAUUAAGUUCCCCGCCUGGGGAGUACGG
rnacentral:rRNA from 1 species